GGUCAAGUUACUAAGGGUGUAUGGGGGAUGUCUAGGUGUCGAGAGGCGACGAAGGACGUGGUAGGCUGCGAUAAGCCCGGGGCAGGUGUCGAACAACCGUUAAUCCCGGGAUGUCCGAAUGGGGAAACCCGUCGGGACUGGGCAACCAGAUCCCGUCAUCCAUGGCUGAAUGUAUAGGCCAUGAGAAGCCAACGCAGAGAACUGAAACAUCUCAGUACCUGCAGGAAAGUAAAUCAAACGAGACUCCGUAAGUAGCGGCGAGCGAAAGCGGAAAAGCCCAAACCGAGAAGCUUGCUUCUCGGGGUUGCGGGCGUCGAUAAGGAGUUACAAAGGCAUCGUCAGUUGAAUCUGCUGGAAAGCGGAACCAUAGAAGGUGAAAGUCCUGUAAACGUAAGCGAGAGCCCUCCGUUACUGUCGACGUACCAGAGUAGCACGGAGCUCGUGGAACUCCGUGUGAAGCUGGGGGGCCCACCCUCCAAGGCUAAGUACUCCUCGACAACCGAUAGUGGAAAGUAAGGCGACUGAACGAUGAAAAGUACCCCUAUUAGGGGAGUUAAAAGUACCUGAAACCAUGCACCUACAAAGCUGUAGAAGCCCUAUGUCGAAUCUUCGGGUUCGAAACGGGUGACUGCGUGCCUUUCGCAUAAUGAGCCGGCGAGUUACCAUUUGUGGCAAGGUUAAGCGCUUAAGGCGCGAAGCCGCAGCGAAAGCGAGUCUGAAUAGGGCGAUUCAGUCGCAGGUGGUAGACGCGAAACCAGGUGAUCUAUCCAUGGCCAGGUGGAAGGGGAUGUAAAAAUCCCUGGACGACCGAACCCACUAACGUUGAAAAGUUAGGGGAUGAGCUGUGGAGAGGAGUAAAAGUCUAAUCAAACCUGGAGAUAUCUCGUUCUCUCCGAAAUAGCUUUUGGGCUAGCCUCGUGUUAACUACCUUACGGGGGUAGAGCUACUGAUUGGGGAUGGGGGGCCACCAGCCUACCCACCCCUACCAAACUCCGAAUACCGUAAGGCGUAUCGCGGGAGUCAGUCUGCGGGUGAUAACAUUCGUGGUCAAGAGGGAAACAACCCAGACCGCCAGCUAAGGCCCCAAAUUCAUGCUAAGUUACUAAGGAAGUCCGAUUGCUGUGACAAUCAGGAUGUUGGCUUAGAAGCAGCCACCAUUUAAAAAGUGCGUAAUAGCUUACUGAUCGAGCAGUUGGGUGCCGAUAAUGAUCGGGAAUAAGCAUGGAGCCGAAGCUGCGGAUGAUUUCGCUGUUGGAUCCGGGGUCCUUGAAAGAGGGCCUCGCAUCCGACAGCGGAGUCGUGGUAGGAGAGCGUAACUGUCAGCGUUGAAGCGGUACGGAAACGAGCCGUGGAGCGGCAGUUAGUGAUUAUGCCGGCAUGAGUAACGAUAAAACAGGUGAGAAUCCUGUUCGCCGAAAACCUAAGGUUUCCUGGGGAAGGUAAAUCCGCCCAGGGUUAGUCGGCCCCUUAGUCGAGGCGGAAACGCGUAGACGAUGGAGAGCAGGUUAAUAUUCCUGCACCGUGUAUGGAAGGUUUGAACUGUGGGAGUGACGUAAUGAUGAAGCUGGGAAGCUGAUUAGUCGUGGCUAUCGUGCCUGCGGCGCCGCUGGUAGGCAAAUCCGCCAGCACAAAGGUGCCAAUGGACCGCGAGGGACGCUUUUGAUUCCUGAGCCAGUGAAUUCGUUACCAAGAAAAACUUCAAACAGGACGACCAUGCACGACCGUACUAAAACUGACACAGGUAGGUGAGGAGAAUAUCCUAAGGCGCUCGAGAAAACUGUCCUUAAGGAACUCGGCAAUUUGACCCCGUAAGUUCGCGAUAAGGGGUCCCUCCAGACGCAUUUAUUUAUAAGUGCGUGCUGAGGGCGCAGAAAAGUGGCUCUGGCGACUGUUUACCAAAAACACAGUUCUCUGCUAACACGAAAAGUGGAUGUAUAGAGAAUGACGCCUGCUCGGUGCCGGAAGGUUAAGGGGAUGGGUUAGCUCUUCGGAGCGAAGCUCCUAACUGAAGCCCCGGUAAACGGCGGCCGUAACUAUGACGGUCCUAAGGUAGCGAAGUUCCUUGUCGGGUAAGUUCCGACGUGCAUGAACGGCGUAACGACUGGAGCAGUGUCUCAAGGACAGACUCGGUGAAAUUGUAGUUGUGGUGAAGAUACCACGUACCCGCGGCAAGACGGAAAGACCCCGUGAACCUUUACUGUAGCCUGGUAUUGUUGCCUGGCAUAUCAUGCGUAGGAUAGGUGGGAGGCUGUGAUCCGGCAUCUCUGGAUGUCGGGGAGCCAUCCUUGAAAUACCACCCUUGCUAUGUUAGUCACCUAACCGCGACCCGUGAAUCCGGGCGUGGGACCGUGCUAGGUGGGCAGUUUGACUGGGGCGGUCUCCUCCUAAAGUGUAACGGAGGAGUUCAAAGGUACCCUCAGCGUGGUUGGCAAUCACGCAUAGAGCGUAAGGGUAGAAGGGUGCUUAACUGCGAGACUUAUAGGUCGAGCAGAUGCGAAAGCAGGACCUAAUGAUCCGGUGGUUCCGUGUGGAAGGGCCAUCGCUCAUCAGACAAAAGGUACUCCGGGGAUAACAGGCUGAUCGCCUCCGAGCGUUCAUAGCGGCGAGGCGGUUUGGCACCUCGAUGUCGGCUCAUCACAUCCUGGGGCUGUAGGCGGUCCCAAGGGUUCGGCUGUUCGCCGAUUAAAGUGGUACGCGAGCUGGGUUCAGACCGGCGUGAGCCAGGUCGGUCCCUAUCUGCCGUGGGCGUAGGAAUCUUGAGGAGAUGUUUCCCUAGUACGAGAGGAUUGGGAAGCACUGACCUCUGGUGUACCGGUUGUCCCGCUAGGGGCAGCGCCGGGUAGCUAAGUUGGGAAUGGAUAACCGCUGAAAGCAUCUAAGCGGGAAGCCAACUCCAAGAUGAGGAUUCCAUGGACUUCGGUCUGAGAGAGCCCAGAAAGACGAUCUGGUUGAUAGGCCGGGUGUGUAAGCGGCGAAAUCCGCUCAGCUAACCGGUACUAACGCUCGAUUACUUGACCAU
rnacentral:rRNA from 1 species